UACGUAGGGUGCAAGCGUUAAUCGGAAUUACUGGGCGUAAGGCGUGCGCAGGCGGUUCUUUAAGUCAGAUGUGAAAUCCCCGGGCUCAACCUGGGAACUGCAUUUGUGACUGUAGAGCUAGAGUGCGGUAGAGGGUAGUGGAAUUCCCGGUGUAGCGGUGAAAUGCGUAGAGAUCGGGAGGAACACCAGUGGCGAAGGCGGCUACCUGGACCAGCACUGACACUGAGGCACGAAAGCGUGGGGAGCAAACAGG
rnacentral:rRNA from 1 species